rnacentral:rRNA from 1 species
UACGUAGGGGGCGAGCGUUGUCCGGAAUUAUUGGGCGUAAAGAGCGUGUAGGCGGUUCGGUAAGUCUGCCGUGAAAGUCCGGGGCUCAACUCCGGAUCUGCGGUGGGUACGGGCAGACUAGAGUGAUGUAGGGGAGACUGGAAUUCCUGGUGUAGCGGUGAAAUGCGCAGAUAUCAGGAGGAACACCGAUGGCGAAGGCGGGUCUCUGGGCCGAUACUGACGCUGAGGAGCGAAAGCGUGGGGAGCAAACAGG